rnacentral:rRNA from 1 species
GACGAACGCUGGCGGCACGCUUAACACAUGCAAGUCGAACGGAGAUAUUUAGGUUUACUUAGAUAUCUUAGUGGCGGACGGGUGAGUAACACGUGAGCAACCUGCCUUUGAGAGAGGGAUAGCUUCGGGAAACUGAUGGUAAUACCUCAUAACGUACAUUUGCCGCAUGACAGAUGUACCAAAGAUUUAUCACUCAAAGAUGGGCUCGCGUCUGAUUAGCUAGUUGGUGAGGUAACGGCUCACCAAGGCGACGAUCAGUAGCCGGACUGAGAGGUUGAACGGCCACAUUGGGACUGAGACACGGCCCAGACUCCUACGGGAGGCAGCAGUGGGGAAUAUUGCACAAUGGGGGAAACCCUGAUGCAGCGAUGCCGCGUGGAGGAAGAAGGUUUUCGGAUUGUAAACUCCUGUCUUAAAGGACGAGUAAUGACGGUACUUUAGGAGGAAGCUCCGGCUAACUACGUAG